AAAGCUGGGGGAGAUUUGGGUGAAUUUCUGGUCAUUGUUUGGGGAGAUUUUAGUUAGUUUUGGGUCAUUUUUUGGGGAGAUUUGGGUGAGUUUUGGGUCAUUUUUUGGGGAGAUUUGGGGAGAUUUGAGUGAGUUUUGGGUCAUUUUUUGGGGAGAUUUGGGUGAGUUUCUGGUGGUUUCUUGGGGAGAUUUGUAUGAGUUUGUGGUCCUAUUUUGGGGAGAUUUCUGUGAGUUUGUGGUCAUUUUUGGGGGAGAUUUGGGUGAGUUUCUGGUAAUUUCUUUGGGGAGAUGUAGGUGAGUUUCUGGUCAUUUUUUGGGGAGAUUUGUUUGAGUUUUGUGUGAUUUUUAGGGGAUAUUUGGGUGAGUUUGUGGUCAUUUUUGGGGGAGA